rnacentral:rRNA from 1 species
GAAACUAACAAGGAUUCCCCUAGUAACUGCGAGUGAAGCGGGAAAAGCUCAAAUUUAAAAUCUGGCAGUCUUUGGCUGUCCGAGUUGUAGUCUGGAGAAGUGCUUUCCGUGCUGGACCGUGUACAAGUCUCUUGGAACAGAGCGUCAUAGAGGGUGAGAAUCCCGUCUUUGACACGGACUACCAGUGCUUUGUGAUGCGCUCUCAAAGAGUCGAGUUGUUUGGGAAUGCAGCUCAAAAUGGGUGGUAAAUUCCAUCUAAAGCUAAAUAUUGGCGAGAGACCGAUAGCGAACAAGUACCGUGAGGGAAAGAUGAAAAGCACUUUGGAAAGAGAGUUAAACAGUACGUGAAAUUGCUGAAAGGGAAACGCUUGAAGUCAGUCGCGUUGGCCAGAACUCAGCCUUGCUCUUUGCUUGGUGCACUUUCUGGUUGACGGGCCAGCAUCAAUUUUGACUGCUGGAUAAAGGCCGGGGGAAUGUGGCACCUUCGGGUGUGUUAUAGCCUCCAGUCGCAUACAGUGGUUGGGAUUGAGGAUCUCAGCACGCCUUCAUGGUCGGGGUUCGCCCACGUUCGUGCUUAGGAUGCUGGCGUAAUGGCUUUAAACGACCCGUCUUGAAACACGGACCAAGGAGUCUAACAUGCCUGCGAGUGUUUGAGUGGAAAACUCGAGCGCGUAAUGAAAGUGAAAGUUGAGAUCCCUGUCAUGGGGAGCAUCGACGCCCGGACCAGACCUUCUGUGAUGGAUCCGCGGUAGAGCAUGUAUGUUGGGACCCGAAAGAUGGUGAACUAUGCCUGAAUAGGGUGAAGCCAGAGGAAACUCUGGUGGAGGCUCGUAGCGAUUCUGACGUGCAAAUCGAUCGUCAAAUUUGGGUAUAGGGGCGAAAGACU